GAGUAUGAUAUGUCAAAAGACAUUAACAGUAGUUUGCGAGUUAUCAAAACAAAUUAAUGUUGUAACACUUAGGAUUUUUCUAUCAUUUUCUAAACAUCAGAUUAACAAAUAUAAACUUUAGUAUUGUCUUUAAAUAAUAACAACAAUAACUAAUGACAAUGAUCUUAAAAAAAACUACUUUAAAUUAUCAAUUUGUACGACCACUCACAAUCACAGAUUGCUGGUUCUUUCUUGUUUUCAAAGGUUCGUGAUGAAUUCUUUCAAUUUUUCUUCAGCCGAUUCAACUUCCCAUUCAAUAAUUAUCUUCAGGGAUUUUGGAUUCAGAGGAUACCAAUCACCUUUACACUCACUUAUAUGUAUUGAGAGUGUCGCAGGGCCAUCACCGUUCUUAAGGUGGUCGUUCAAGAUAGACUGGGCACAUAAGAUCUCCAGUUGCCCACGAUAAUAUUGCUUCUUGAAAAAGCUUGGUCGUGGCAUCUUGAAGCUUCUUGUCAAAGUUUCCUUAGUCUGCAAAAGAGAGUAAAAUGAUUGCUCUUACUGACAUGGUUGAAGGAAAUUUCAAUAAUCUGUCUUAUUGAACCUUAUUUAUGGCAAUUUUAUGUAAUUUGUUUGAUUUUUGUCUGAAAAACUAACUUACCUUGUGAAGCUUUGAAAAGAC